AGGAUGAACGCUGGCGGCGUGCUUAACACAUGCAAGUCGAACGAUGAAGCCGGAGCUUGCUCUGGUGGAUUAGUGGCGAACGGGUGAGUAACACGUGAGUAACCUGCCCUUGACUCUGGGAUAAGCACUGGAAACGGUGUCUAAUACCGGAUACGAGCUUCAGCCGCAUGGCUAGGAGCUGGAAAGAAUUUCGGUCAAGGAUGGACUCGCGGCCUAUCAGGUAGUUGGUGAGGUAACGGCCCACCAAGCCUACGACGGGUAGCCGGCCUGAGAGGGUGACCGGCCACACUGGGACUGAGACACGGCCCAGACUCCUACGGGAGGCAGCAGUGGGGAAUAUUGCACAAUGGGCGCAAGCCUGAUGCAGCAACGCCGCGUGAGGGACGACGGCCUUCGGUUGUAAACCUCUUUAGUAGGAAGAAGCGAAAGUGACGGUACCUGACAGAAAAGCACCGGCUAACUACGUGCUAGCAGCCGCGUAA
rnacentral:rRNA from 1 species